GCUGAGCAGCAAUUAUGCAAAUGGGAACCUGGUAACUGCCUUUGGGGUCAAAGGCCGGUUACAGCCUAUCAGAUCUAGAGGAGGGGUAUUUAGGCCCAGUUCUCAUCCUGCUCAGUGCCCUGUCGUGGUUUCCCUAGUGCUUGUCCGAGAGCGCGUUCCUGAUUCAAGUUUCUUCUGGUUUUUGACUUUGGCUUUGAUUUUGACUAACCUGUAUUCUGGUAUCCCUGACUUCUGGCUUUCCCUUAUCCUUGUGUCUCUUUCUGUAUCCCCUGACCUCUGCAAGUAUCCUGACUACUCUUUGGUAUGUUAAGUCUGGCCAUUCUAAGGCCCGGUAAUACAUUACCCGUUAGUCAUCUGUGUGACACAAUUCUACGUGCUUGAUCAACUAGUAAUCCUGACAGGUGAUCCUUAAGUCUGGUAAAAUUCCGGAAUCGCCAAUAAAAUCACACAAAAUUACUGUGGAGCGCUAAGUGAAUAUAGGUUUCAACAAAAUGAUGCAAAUAGUGCAAUAUUCAAUGGCAAGUUAAUUUAUUGUAAUAAGGAUGUACAAAUUCAAACUCACCUAGACACAGCCUAUAAAGUUGUCUCUGAACACAGACACUUCUGUAAUUUUGCAGCAGUACAACACCCUCCUUUUAUAGUGGAUACUCUCAGUAAAUCCAGGAUGAGAAAAAGGGAUAACAUAGUGUAGUACUUUCUUGCACAAAUAUAAAGUAUAGUGCUAAAUAGCACUGUUUACUUUGUAAAGAGCCUAUUAGACCGGCUCAAGUCUCUGGUGUUGCUUAUAGGUAGCACUUAACCCCCUCUGUGCAGCCAGGUAGAUUAAAAGAUUAGCAAAAUCCAAUGUACUUAGUAAAUAGUACAAAUGUAUCUAAAUAACACAAUACUCCAUUAAAAAACUAUUGAAUAAAACCAAAACUUGUUUCGCCAGUAAAAACCCUUAAAAUAUAGAGUGUUGCUUGCGUGUACGUGUUAAAACUAAAAGAAAUGGGUGAUAGUUGAAGCACAAGAUAUUAAGAGGGUAUAGAAUUUAGGCAAAGAAAGAAAAAAAAAAACAGGACAGCGUUUUCACAAAGAUUCCACUUGUAAAGAAAACAAGGCGCAUAGAGGGAGGAUUAUAUAUACUUGUUCACAUGAAAAGAAUUGGUCACAGGCUUCUCAAAGUCGUUUUGUGUGAGUACAUCAUAUUGUAAAGGAAAUUAAGCCUUCUCCGUUUUGGUUGUUGGCAAAUUAUACAGACUGAAAGAAACAAGGUGCAAUGUGGUUUAUUUCUAAUAUAUGCAUUUUUCCUGCAAAUAAGCUAUAUUCAGCACACAUUCCUUGCUACCUGGUGUAGACUGACCUUUACAAAAAACAGGUGGCAAAUUACUACACAGGUGCAUGAGUUUGCGAAAUUCCAGCAAGCACGGCUCAGCCUUACAAUGCGUCCCCCAUGUAAACAGAUUAUAGAACAAUACAGAGGAAUUUGGCAUAGUAAGACAGCACGCAACCCGUGGGAGUGGCUAUGGAACAUGUGAUGUAGGGCCACAAGAAAAUUCACUAUUAGAAAAGAAACUGACUGCCCGUCUACUACUCUCCUGUUUAGAUUGCCUGCCCCGUAAAUCUUCUCCAGUUAUCCGAAGUACCAAUCUGUUACUCAAAUCUGAAUGCCUACAUGUACUGCCCUGGUUGCUGCUCUCUUCCCAUUGCCAAAUGCCCUCUUACUAUCCAACUUUCACAGUAUCGAGUGCUAAAUCAUAUUGCCCCAAGUGGUUACCUGCUGCCCCCCUCCCAUUUCGUAUCUGCAACUUUCACCUAAAGUGGUGAACUUAAGCGUCCUCUCAUUUUGCCAUGUGACUAAAAAAUAGACUUCUUGUGAUCUGAGAAAAAUGCAAAUGAGCAAUGCACAGCUGGGGUAAAUUACUGAGUGCGACCUCAGACCAGGACUAGACAACAUUAGGGCUGAAAAUUGUGAAUUGGGCUCCCAGGUCCUGGGCAGAGUUUAUGGGGUUCCAUUCCUGCAAAGGAUUCUGGGAACCAAGCAAACCUCAUGCAAUAUUUUGCCUGUAUAUCAUUCCUGGCAUCGGUGUUAAGUGCGACAAAUUCUGUUAUUGCACGAUUCCUGGCACCUAUCUGGAAAAUUGAGGGGUUCUAUCCCAGCGUAGGACUCUGUCAAUCUCUCACUUGGUCCUUUUUUUCUCUUCUUACCUUUUAUGUAAUGUUCUCUGUACUUCUCUUCCCAAAUAUGCAACUUCUCUUAACCAUACAUCUACAGAGGUAUCAUUCACCCACUCACACCCCCUACAGACUAACUGCUCUCCCCAGUAUUCUUUCUACAGCCUCACAGUUUUCUACAUAACUCUGUCAACUCAUGUCAUGCCACAUAUCUAAAAAGCAAUCACAGUGAUUGAACAAAAAGCACAUAUUAAAGGGAGUUUUGAUAAACAUGUCACUUUCUGUUAACAGAUAUGUAGGGAGAAGUGCAGUUAAAAAUCUAGCUUAUGAACCUUGUUUCGGCUGGUCUCAGCAGGAUGUGAGAGAACCUACUCAAUUCAUUUCAUUUUUCUCCUGUAACUUGUGAAUUCAGUUCAUACAAUGAACAAAUAAAAAACAAAGAGGGAUAUAUGUG